GGUGAUGGCAUGAUCUUUUGUGAACGAA
rnacentral:piRNA from 1 species